AUUUUCUUAUAGCUGCUGUUUUCUAUCUCUCCAGCACCAUCUCCAUCAGAAACAUGACGCUUGGGAGUGUUUUACUGUUUUUGGUCGAUAUGAUUCUGUAAUUAGGCCCGUCAUAAUUGUCAGCACCAGGCCCACUGGGCUCUUAAUCUGGCCCUGCUCCUAUUGAUCAGUAACAUUAUUUCUGUUUCUUUGUUUUUUCCGAAAUUCAUACUACAGCCAUUUUACAAACUUUUUUCCUUGACUGUGAUAACAUAUGUAGCAUUCACCGAUACACAAUAGACCAUUAAAUCAGAACCCUUAAAUAGACUGAAACACAUAUUCAAUACAUGGCAAUAAAAUCAUCAUAUUAUCACAAUAAAAGCUAGAAC